UGCCACAGGCAUAUCACCCUGCAGCCCAAGACCGGUUGCCCACUGAAGCUAAGCAGGGUUGAGCCUGGUCAGUACCUGGAUGGGAGACCUCCUGGGAAAACUAGGUUGCUGUUGGAA
rnacentral:rRNA from 1 species